GUGAAUCAUCGAAUUUUUGAACGCAAAUUGCACUCUCUUCGGAAAGUAUGCCUGUUUGAGGGUCAGCCUAAAAAAAAUCUACAUAGUUGCUUUUACUCGGUACCAUUCGUCGGAUAUUGAGUCAUCUUAAACUUUUGGGUUUAAGCGGCUUAAAAUUGUCUUUACUAUUCCAAGAACGUUUCUAAUAUUUUAUCUUCUUAUACUUUUAAAGUAUCGAUCUUUAUUAGACGUGGCCGUUUCUUCGUAUCUCUGCCAUAAUGAUUUCGUUACCUGACCUAAGAC
rnacentral:misc_RNA from 1 species